UAAUACGUAGGUGACAAGCGUUGUCCGGAUUUACUGGGCGUAAAGAGCGCGCAGGCGGUCGUUCAAGUCGAGUGUGAAAGCCCCCGGCUCAACUGGGGAGGGUCACUCGAUACUGAUCGACUCGAAGGCAGGAGAGGGUAGUGGAAUUCCCGGUGUAGUGGUGAAAUGCGUAGAUAUCGGGAGGAACACCAGUGGCGAAGGCGACUACCUGGCCUGUUCUUGACGCUGAGGCGCGAAAGCUAGGGGAGCAAACGGGAUUAGAUACCCCGGUAGUCCUGGCCCUAAACGAUGAAUGCUUGGUGUGGCGGGUAUCGAUCCCUGCCGUGCCGAAGCUAACGCAUUAAGCAUUCCGCCUGGGGAGUACGGUCGCAAGGCUG
rnacentral:rRNA from 1 species